rnacentral:pre_miRNA from 8 species
AUCUGCAAGAACAUUCUGUGCAUUCUAUCCUUCAUUCCACCGGAGUCUGUGCCUUUAUCCAAACAGAUUUCAGUGAAGUGAAGUGUAAGAGACAUGGAACUCG